rnacentral:rRNA from 1 species
UACGUAGGGUGCAAGCGUUACUCGGAAUUACUGGGCGUAAAGCGUGCGCAGGCGGUUUUGUAAGUCUGUCGUGAAAUCCCCGGGCUCAACCUGGGAAUGGCGAUGGAGACUGCAAGGCUGGAAUCUGGCAGAGGGGGGUAGAAUUCCACGUGUAGCAGUGAAAUGCGUAGAGAUGUGGAGGAACACCGAUGGCGAAGGCAGCCCCCUGGGCUAAGAUUGACGCUCAUGCACGAAAGCGUGGGGAGCAAACAGG